AGAGGGGUGCGAGCGUUAAUCGGAAUGACUGGCGUAAAGGGGGGUUCGUAGGUUGGAUGAUAAGUUUAUGUGAAAGCCCUGGGCUUAACCUGGGACUUGCAUAGGAAACUGUUAUUCUAGAGUACAGCAGAGGUAAGGGGAAUUUCCGGUGUAGCGGUGAAAUGCAUAGAUAUCGGAAGGAACACCGGUGGCGAAGGCGCCUUACUGGGUUGAUACUGACACUGAGGAACGAAAGCGUGGGUAGCAAACAGGAUUAGAUACCCUGGUAGUCCACGCUGUAAACGAUGAGAACUAGAUUUUGGCGGAAUAAAAUUCUGUUGGGAUCGUAGCUAACGCGCUAAGUUCUCCGCCUGGGGAGUACGGCCGCAAGGUUA
rnacentral:rRNA from 1 species